AAACCAGCACCUCAAGUGGUCAGGAGGAUUAUUGGGCCUAAAGCAUCCGUAGCCUGUUCUAUAAGUUUCCGGUUAAAUCCACUAGCUCAACUAGUGGGCUGCCGAAAAUACUGUAGAGCUAGGGAGUGGGAGAGGUAGACGGUAUUCGGUAGGAAGGGGUAAAAUCCUUUGAUCUAGUGAGGACCACCUGUGGCGAAGGCGAUCUACCAGAACACGUUCGACGGUGAGGGAUGAAAGCUGGGGGAGCAAACCGGAUUAGAAACCCCAGUAGUCC
rnacentral:rRNA from 1 species